GCGCCCAGCAAAGGGCACAACACAACCGUUGUUCGUUGUGUUCGCAUGCUCUUCACCCUGCUCCUGCCCACUCUGCUUUUCACCUGCCCCCUGAUAACCCAUUCAGUCCUGACAGCUCCUGAGUGCCUGGAUUUUGUCAUCCAGCCCUGCAGGAUGCUCCUCUUUGUUCUGAGGAAGGCUGUCCCAGACAGAGAGGAGGACAUGGAGGUAGAUACAAAGAUUGAUACGGAGGAGGAGAUGGAAAUAGAUGGAGAAGAUCCUGGAGAGGGAAAGAUGGAUGUGGAUGUGGAUGAGGAAGAAGAGAUGGACGUGGAUGUGACUGAGGAGGAAGAGAUGGAUGUGGAUAUGGAAGAGUCCAUUGAGGACAUGGACAUUGAUUAAAAAGGCACAGGCAGCAUUUUGGAAAGUGGUUGUUUCCACUUGAUCCACGUCGCCAGGACUGGGGGUCCCUGGCACAGCCACCCCAGGAGUGGGGGUCCCUGUGCACAGAGGGGUUCCCCUGACAGAGCCUCCCAGGGGUUGGCAAUGAGAAAUCAUGGUUUGAGGAAAAGAAGGGAUGAGCACGUUGAAUUUGAAGGUCCGUCUGCCCGAGCCCACCUCGAGAAGUCACCGGCCAUCUGGGUUCCAGAAAAACCUCCCAAACACCAAGGUUCAGCCCUAAAAAUCCUAC